UACGGAGGGUGCAAGCGUUAUCCGGAUUCACUGGGUUUAAAGGGUGCGUAGGCGGAUAUGUAAGUCCGUGGUGAAAUCUCUGGGCUUAACCCGGAAACUGCCAUGGAUACUAUGUGUCUUGAAUGUUGUUGAGGUGAGCGGAAUAUGUCAUGUAGCGGUGAAAUGCGUAGAUAUCUGGAGGAAUACCGGUGGCGAAGGCGGCAUCCUGGACCGACAUUGACGCUGAGGAGCGAAAGCUAGGGGAGCGAACGGG
rnacentral:rRNA from 1 species